rnacentral:lncRNA from 1 species
CCGUGGCUGGGCCCAGCGCGCGCCCGUCGCCUGUUGCUUCUCCACGGGCCGAUGCGUAGUAUGUAUGACUGCAUCUGAGCCGACUGGACUGUUGGAUGUAUAUUUAGUAGCAUGCUGGACUUACUGAUUUCCCAUCACAAUUCAGAAAGUUAUCAAUUCGAUCUGGUGUAUCUGUAUACUGCUGGAGCAUAUAUUAAGCCGGGCGCAAGUACAUGAAAGCUUCAU